rnacentral:rRNA from 1 species
GUCGAGGAUUUUUCUCAAUGGGGGAAACCCUGAAGGAGCGACGCCGCGUGAGGGAUGAAGGUCUUCGGAUUGUAAACCUCUGUCAUCUGGGAACAAUGUGAUCUACCUAACACGUGGAUUAUUGAUAGUACCGGAAGAGGAAGCAGUGGCUAACUCUGUGCCAGCAGCCGCGGUAAUACAGAGACUGCAAGCGUUGUUCGGAUUCAUUGGGCGUAAAGGGUGCGCAGGCGGUCGGGUAAGUCGGAUGUGAAAUCUCACAGCCUAACUGUGAUAGGUCAUUCGAAACUGCUCGGCUUGAGAACUGGAGAGGAGACUGGAAUUGUCGGUGUAGCGGUGAAAUGCGUAGAGAUCGACAAGAACACCGGUGGCGAAGGCGGGUCUCUGGACAGUUUCUGACGCUCAGGCACGAAAGCCAGGGGAGCAAACGGGAUUAGAUACCCGAGUAGUCC